rnacentral:rRNA from 1 species
GCCUGAUGGAGGGGGAUAACUACUGGAAACGGUAGCUAAUACCGCAUAACGUCUUCGGACCAAAGUGGGGGACCUUCGGGCCUCAUGCCAUCAGAUGUGCCCAGAUGGGAUUAGCUAGUAGGUGGGGUAAAGGCUCACCUAGGCGACGAUCCCUAGCUGGUCUGAGAGGAUGACCAGCCACACUGGAACUGAGACACGGUCCAGACUCCUACGGGAGGCAGCAGUGGGGAAUAUUGCACAAUGGGCGCAAGCCUGAUGCAGCCAUGCCGCGUGUAUGAAGAAGGCCUUCGGGUUGUAAAGUACUUUCAGCGAGGAGGAAGGGGUUGUGGUUAAUAACCUUGGCAAUUGACGUUACUCGCAGAAGAAGCACC